GACGAACGCUGGCGGCGUGCUUAACACAUGCAAGUCGAACGAGUGGCGCACGGGUGAGUAAUACGUGGGAACCUGCCCUCCUUUUUGGGGUAAGCCUUGGAAACGGGGUCUAAUACCGCUUUAAGGGGGAUGGGAUCGCGGCCUAUCAGCUUGGUGGUGGGGUGAUGGCCUACCAAGGCGAUGACGGGUAGCCGGCCUGAGAGGAUGACCAGCCACACUGGAACUGAGACACGGUCCAGACUCCUACGGGAGGCAGCAGUGGGGAAUAUUGCACAAUGGGCGCAAGCCUGAUGCAGCCAUGCCGCGUGUGUGAAGAAGGCCUUCGGGUUGUAAAGCACUUGCAGCGGGGAGGCGUUACCCGCAGAAGAAGCACCGGCUAACUCCGUGCCAGCAGCCGCGGUAAUAC
rnacentral:rRNA from 1 species